ACCCCCCCACACACAAUAUCCCCAUUCAAUUGUUGUCAAUGGGAGCUCUAAGCCACGCCCCCUCCAUUAUCCCCAAUGGAGCUUUAAGCCACGCCCCUCCAUUAUAUCCAAUGGGAGCUCUAAGCCACGCCCCCCUCAUUAUCAUAAAUGGGAGCUCUAAGCCACACCCCCUCCAUUAUCAUAAAUGGGAGCUCUAAGCCACGCCCCCUUCAUUAUCCCCAAUGGAGCUCUAAGCCACGCCCCCUCCAUUAUCCCCAAUGGGAGCUUUAAGCCACGCCCCCUCCAUUAUAUCCAAUGGAGCUCUAAGCCACGUCCCCUCCAUUAUCCCCAAUGGAGCUCUAAGCCACGCCCCCUCAAUUAUAUCCAAAGGGAGCUCUAAGCCAAGCCCCCGCCAUUAUCCCCAAUGGAGCUCUAAGCCACGCCCCCUCUAUUAUCCCCAAUGGAGCUCUAAGCCACGCCCCCUCCAUUAUAUCCAAUGACAGCUCUAAGCCACGCCCCUCAUUAUCAUAAGUAUGAGGUCUAAGCCACGCCCCCUCCAUUAUAUCCAAUGGAAGCUCUAAGCCACGCCCCCUCAUUAUCAUAAAUGGGAGCUCUAAGCCACGCCCCCUCCAUUAGUUUCUACGUGAGCUCUAAGCCACGCCUCCUCCAUUGUCUCCAAUGGGAGCUCGCCGCGCAUCAGUUUGACGUCAUCACCCCGCGCCGCAAUGAUCCGCGCUGGGUACCGCGCUGUUACCGGCUUCGUUCGGGCCUGGAACCGGAACCGGAACCGAGCCGGGGUGUCGUCCGUUUCCAAUGGGAGACAUGGGAGAGAAGCAGUGCCACCGGAACCGGGGAAGGUGCCCCGAAAACUUUAAAACCGGGAAGUGGUGCGGCCCAAAAGCGAAACCCGGAAGUGCACCGGACAUAUGUGCGGCGUGGGAAAGCAUGUAGGCUGCCCCGGUGCCCCCCGUUUCCCCCCCCACCCUGGGUUCCGGUUCAAGCGUGGGUCGAUCUUACGGAACCCAUCAGGAUGAACGGAUCGGGAUCAUCGAGCUCCAUCCCGACGUGUUCAACGUGCAGCCACGGUAACGGGGCCUAAAUACAAAGGGCGGGGCCUAUGGGCCGGAGUGGGAGAGCUGAAGGGGGCGGGCUUGGUGAGGGGCGGGCGUUAUUGGGUGGAACCA
rnacentral:lncRNA from 1 species